GGGAAUCUGCCCAGUCGUGGGGGAUAACCUCGGGAAACCGGGACUAAUACCGCAUGCGCCCUACGGGGGAAAGCAGGGGAUCUUCGGACCUUGUGCGAUUGGAUGAGCCCAUGUUCGAUUAGCUAGUUGGCGGGGUAAUGGCCCACCAAGGCGACGAUCGAUAGCUGGUCUGAGAGGAUNGAUCAGCCACACUGGAACUGAGACACGGUCCAGACUCCUACGGGAGGCAGCAGUAGGGAAUAUUGGACAAUGGGCGCAAGCCUGAUCCAGCCAUGCCGCGUGAGUGAAGAAGGCCUUCGGGUUGUAAAGCUCUUUUGUCCGGAAAGAAAAGCCUUGGGUUAAUACCCUGAGGUUCUGACGGUACCGGAAGAAUAAGCACCGGCUAACUUCGUGCCAGCAGCCGCGGUAC
rnacentral:rRNA from 1 species